GGCGAUGGCCACGUGAUCCCCACCCUUCUUCCGUUUGACCGGAUUCCUUCCCUUCGCUCCUCCAUCCUCGGAUACCCUUCGACCUGCACGUGCGAGGCCGGCGUGGGUGGGAUGCGGCCGCAGGACGGACUCAGCGCCUCACGUGCUUCCGUGCGUCGCGCUGGGCGCUCUCCACGACGCGGUCCACGCACCGUCCGGUGACACGUGCAGCAGCGUAAGAUCCUGGCGACCUAGUUUAUUUUUAAAAACUAGAUUAGUACCGCCAGAUGACAUCGAUUAACAGACAAUAAUGAGCGAGCGUGGUGGUGCGGUCAAGUGUGGAACGUGGGGAAUGAUUCGUUUCCACUGACCGGGGGGAUUAUUUUAACCUCCCCUUUCACCGUCGACUCCCGUCACCGCCAUGUCUCCAACCGUCCAGCUCCCCGUUCGCACCGGCCAGGUGAAGGAAGACUGUGUCGUUUGGUUUUGGAAUAUAUUUGGUUGAAAAGCUCUGAAACGAAAAUGGAAAGGAAUGGUUUCAUUCCAACUAUUUGAUUAGAGAAUUUUUCUAUUCUCAUUUUGAUUCUUGAUGAAUGUAAAAAUAUGCUUUAAUUUUUUGAAAUCUAUUUUUGACUGUUCUCUUAUGUUUUGAUUGGGA
rnacentral:lncRNA from 1 species